rnacentral:rRNA from 1 species
CCUACGGGGUGCAGCAGUGGGGAAUAUUGCACAAUGGGGGAAACCCUGAUGCAGCCACGCCGCGUGUGUGAAGAAGUAUUUCGGUAUGUAAAGCUCUAUCAGCAGGGAAGAAGAUGAUGGUACCUGAUUAAGAAGCCCCGGCUAACUACGUGCCAGCAGCCGCGGUAAUACGUAGGGGGCAAGCGUUAUCCGGAUUUACGGGGUGUAAAGGGAGCGCAGACGGCAGUGCAAGUCUGGAGUGAAAGCCCGGGGCCCAACCCCGGAACUGCUCUGGAAACUGGGCGGCUAGAGUACCGGAGGGGCAGGCAGAAUGCCUAGUGUAGCGGUGAAAUGCGUAGAGAUUAGGAGGAAUACUCGUGGCGAAGGCGGGUUCCUGGACAUUAACUGACGCUGAGGUACGAAGGCCAGGGGAGCGAAAGGGAUUAGAUACCCGAGUAGUC